rnacentral:rRNA from 1 species
UACGUAGGGGGCGAGCGUUAUUCGGAAUUAUUGGGCGUAAAGGGCUCGUAGGCGGUCUGUUGCGUCGGUAGUGAAAACUCAGGGCUUAACCCUGAGCCUGCUUCCGAUACGGGCAGACUAGAGGUAUGCAGGGGAGAACGGAAUUCCUGGUGUAGCGGUGAAAUGCGCAGAUAUCAGGAGGAACACCGGUGGCGAAGGCGGAUCUCUGGGCCGAUACUGACGCUGAGGAGCGAAGGCGUGGGGAGCGAACAGG